UACGUAGGUGACCAGCGUUGUCCGGAUUUACUGGGCGUAAAGAGCGCGCAGGCGGUCGUUCAAGUCGAGUGUGAAAGCCCCCGGCUCAACUGGGGAGGGUCACUUGAUACUGAUCGACUCGAAGGCAGGAGAGGGAAGCGGAAUUCCCGGUGUAGUGGUGAAAUGCGUAGAUAUCGGGAGGAACACCAGUGGCGAAGGCGGCUUCCUGCCUGUUCGUUGGACGCUGAGG
rnacentral:rRNA from 1 species